rnacentral:rRNA from 1 species
GACGAAUGCUGGCGGCGUGCCUAAUACAUGCAAGUUGAGCGAUGAAGAUUGGUGCUUGCACCAAUUUGAAGAGCAGCGAACGGGUGAGUAACGCGUGGGGAAUCUGCCUUUGAGCGGGGGACAACAUUUGGAAACGAAUGCUAAUACCGCAUAACAACUUUAAACAUAAGUUUUAAGUUUGAAAGAUGCAAUUGCAUCACUCAAAGAUGAUCCCGCGUUGUAUUAGCUAGUUGGUGAGGUAAAGGCUCACCAAGGCGAUGAUACAUAGCCGACAUAGGAGGGUGAUCGGCCACAUUGGGACUGAGACACGGCCCAAACUCCUACGGGAGGCAGCAGUAGGGAAUCUUCGGCAAUGGACGAAAGUCUGACCGAGCAACGCCGCGUGAGUGAAGAAGGUUUUCGGAUCGUAAAACUCUGUUGGUAGAGAAGAACGUUGGUGAGAGUGGAAAGCUCAUCAAGUGACGGUAACUACCCAGAAAGGGACGGCUAACUACGUGCCAGCAGCCGCAGUAA